GCCAUUUGCACUCCCGCCUAGGAAGAUCAGGAGAACCUACCUCUCCCAGAUCUGUUAGAGCAGGAGGAGCAGAAGGAGCCCUCCCAGGGGGUUCAGCUGAGGGAGCGGCUAAGUCCUCAAGAGCGCACCCAAGUACAGGAACUGAUAGCGGCGAAGGGCGCCACCUUUUCUAACUUACCUGGGUACAGUCCACUGGCCACUCACCGAGUAGAAACCCCGGGACAGCUUCCUAUGCGACAGACCCCAUAUCGGAUUCCCGAAUCCAUACGGGAGCAUAUGAGGAAAGAGAUUGAGGAGAUG